CCGCUUAUACCAAACCUUCUCCUCCUCCCCCCGCCGCUUAUACCAAACCUUCUUCUCCUCCCCCCGCCGCUUAUACCAAACCUUCUUCUCCUCCUCCCGCCGCUUAUACCAAACCUUCUUCUCCUCCUCCCGCCGCUUAUACCAAACCUUCUCCAUAUUAUACCGAACAACCUCCACCUCUUGAUACUGAACCUGUUCUUCCUAUAACACCUACUGCCAUUGAACGUCGUUCUUACCCCAUUGUUACCGGAUCUCCUCCUCCCCCUUCUGGAUCCAAACCUUCAUCACCUGUUUUCCAACCUCCAAAACCACCUGCAGAUCCAAAUGACCCAUAUGGGGUCCACAUGACCAUCAAUCAGGCCCUGAUUACUGAAGAGCCCAUGUCUGCUACUGGGAGCCCCAAUCCGGAUCCCUAUACCCAACCUCCUAAAUGGCCUGUGGGUCCAUACUAUUACCCCUAUGGUCCUUACUACCCCCAUUUGGUCCUCACCAUUACCCCUUCAUACCCAUCUACUACCCCUUACCUACCCCAGGGCCUAGCCCAGUCAUGGCUAGUCCUCCCCAGACUCUCCCUUCAGGUCCUCAGGACCCUACAAUGCCCACAGUCUACCCACCCCACCACUACCCUCAGCCAGUCACCUGCUCUCCCUCUGCCCAUACCAUCUGUAGCUAUGACCCAUAUCCCGUGGAUGUGCCACACUACCAGCCACACCAUCCAUAUCCUCUCUACCUGACGCCCAGCCCCUCUCUGACCACCCCGGCCCUUCCUUCCACGGGUACAGCUCUGCCUGGUGCUACUCAACCACCCCAGACCUCACCAACCACCCCCUCACCCUCCUCCAGGACCAUAUCUACCACUACUACUCUCACUCCUUGGAUGUCCAUCCUCACCCCUACUCUCCCCCCUCAGCCCUCCCUCUCUCCUGGGCUCUCCCCUCGGCCAUCCCUCCGCUGUCUAGCAGGACAGAUGAUGGUGUCGCUGCCCUCUGCUCUCCUGGACUCCAUCCAGGUCAAAGAUCAGCUGAAUGGCUGGGUGUCUAUCUCCAGUGCCCCGGCGGCUUGUAGAUACAUCCUGCAGAUGAGUAAGGGUGGUGGAGUGAUCCUCCAUUCCCCUCUCCCUGCCUGCCACAGCCAGGCUAUGGCCCUCAACCCACACCAGCUCUCCCUCCCCCUGAAGUUUUGGGACACAGUCCUGGGGCAAUACAGAACUCUGGAGCUCCAUUGCCCGUCAACUGUGACCCCAUCACCCCACACCACUACCACGACCCACACCAGGCCUCCCACUCCCCCUAAGCCACACGUCUUCUGCUCUGCUCGCCACAUGAGGGUGGAGCUUCCCCCAGGUCCCAUAUCUGGAAUCGUUGUCAAGGACAUCGAAGGGAAUGAGAUGAGCCUGAUGGAUGCCCCAAAGCAUUGUGGGUAUGUGGCAAGCAAGGGCAAGGAUGGCAUGAUCACCCUGAACCGCCCCUUCAACUCCUGUCACAUGACUGUCCAGGGUAAAGAGCACCGCAUGGAUGUGAUUUACUCCACGUUGAACGGACAAAAAGGGAAGGCCCAGUUGUCCUGUCCAGUUUCCAUACCAGUUUCUCAUCAAGAGUGUAACCUUCCCAGUGACCAGCGCCUCCCCUGCGGCCGCCGCCCUCUAUCCCAGGCAGAGUGUCUCUCUCUGGGCUGCUGCUACAGCACCAAGCCCUCUGCCUGCUACUACUCCAUGGAUGAAUGCACAUUGGACCGCCACUUUGUCUUUUCGGUGCCCGCCUCCCUCACGGACCCCCCCUCUGUCCCCCGCCUUGCUCACUGCAGCUGGCAACCCCACCUGCGCCCCUCAGAGGGUGACUGCAGACUACGCCCUGUUCAAGAUCCCACUGGGUGGCUGCGGGGCCCACAGAUACGAGGUAGGCCAAACGGUAAUCUACAUGGUGGAGAUCAUCAACACGGUCCAGUCAAUCACCCUCGACUAUGGGACCAUCACCAGAGACUCUCCUAUCAGGCUGCUGGUAGAGUGCCAGUACACUCCUGGCUCUGUGGUGAGUGUUGGCUUCCUGGUCAAGACCCCUCCCUGGGCCCCUCCAUUCAGGCCCAGGGUGUGUUGGGGGUCCAGCUCAGGAUUGCCACAGACGUGCAGUACAGUAGCUUCUACCCCCAGUACCACCGGCCCCUGCAGAUGCUCUUGGGUAAACCCUUACACCUUGAGGUGCGUCUGCUCAACCCCCCCCAGAUGACAAAGUGGUCCUGCUGGUACACUACUGCGUGGCCUACCCCAGAUCAGGACAGACUGUCUGGGUACUCCUCUAUAAUGGAUGUCCUAACCAUCUGGACCCGGCCUCUCAGAAGUCUCACCCAUCUCCUCCACCCCCACCCCUUCCACCAAGGCCAGAUAUGAAGGUUCACCAUCUCCACCUUCCAGUUCCUCACCUCUGGACAGACCCAGACAUUGGAGGACCAUGAAGAGAUCUACUUCAUGUGUUCUACUGAAGAGUGUUCGCCGCUGGACGGCAGCCUGUGUGUAGAGGGAUGCUUUGGCCAGUGACUAGAAAAGAUGGACAGAAAGCAAUAGUCAUGGAAGAUUAACUGGCCCAAGGCUGCUCGUUCACUACUAAUAAAACCCCUUAAAAGGAGACUGUGUGUUUCUUGCUCCCAGGCAGUCUAGUCUAGUUUGGAUGGCAUGAAGCUGACUCCACGAGUGUUGUACUCAGUUGUUUAUGUUCACACUGACUCCGCCUAUGGAGGUUCUAGACAACGGCAUGAAUCAACAUUCUGGAUAUCCAAUAUUGCUCCAUACAUUGUUUUGAAUAUAGGUUAGUAUUUAGAUAAGUUAGCAGACCUCUUCCAUAUUGCACAUACAUACAUGCAUACAUAAUAUCAGCCUAUAGUCAUUAAUUC
rnacentral:lncRNA from 1 species